CGCAGAACAAUUGGCAGCAGCUGAGACACAACAAAGGCCAAAGCCUCAGGCUGGCUCUGUCUUGAACGCCACCCCACAAACUGACCCUUCAUCAGAGCGACCCCACCAGGAGGACCAGGGCUGUCCCACUGAGGGGCUGCACUUCACGGCCCAGCACCUGCUGUUGACCGGGAGCCGUCGUGUUUUCUAAGACCAACAAAGCGUCCUCUGACAAUCAGGACAAGAGGAGGUUAGCUAAGGGCCCCCACACAUAGAAUCCUUAUCAAAUAUGUCUCCAGCCCUCGGACAAGCGACAAAGCAGCCCAUCAGAGUGGCCGUCCUGAGCCCCUCCACCCACCCGCUUCCCUGACAAUUGAGCCCCCGCGAUGGUAACCCGAGGCCCCCAGGCAGCGGGAUGGUCGGAGGCCUGAUUUUCAACACAUGUUUUAUUAAUUCCUUCUUCCCGGGCCUCGUUAAGAAACUAUAAAAAGAGCUGCGUGUCCCUCCCCUGCCAGGAAAAAACUGGGACGUGUGUGUGGGGAGGGGAGCGGCGUGAAAACCAGAGCGACGGGAAUCUCAGCUUUGAGGAAACACACGCGAUGAAAGCCUCCGCCCCAGCUCUGUCAACAUCUGUCACUUCGCUCUCCCCGGGGCGGGGAGUCCUGGACGUCACCAGGCUGCAGGAGAGGCAGUGCGUGCCGGCGAGCGUGGGACUGCGAGGCCCGGCACGGCGGCGCGCGGGGGAGGGUCUUCCCGGAAGCCGCGGGCCGCGCUCGGGCCGCACGUAGCGCCGGGCGUGACUCAGCGCUGACUCACCGCCCUCGCGGCCCCGCGGAGUUCCCUGCCGUCAGCUGCGUGCGCAGCGCCUGUGGCCGGGGCGCGCACGCGGCCUGGCGUCCAUGGCUGCCGCGUCGCGGCCGCAGGGCCGCGGCUUUUCGAUAGAGCCGCGUGCUUUGGCGCGGAGUCCCGACCCAGAGCCGUGAGCGGCCUCCGCGCGCCAUCUCGCUUACCCAUCUCUUUCUUCUGUCAGAAGCCUGUUGCAACAGCAGCCCUGACGUCGCCGUCGCGCGGUGCCUAGCUUCUCCUAGACUGGUCCUUGGUCCAGCAGCCUGGGCAGCACCGGCAGCUUGUAUGACCUGUAUUCUGAGACCUAUCCAUAACUGCUGAAUCUGAAUUUUCACCUUUGCAAAGUCCACAGCACCAGACAAAUGCAGAACAAGAUAACAAGAGUUCCCGGCAAAGGAGCCAGGUUGGGAAGGCCCUCAGUCAAGGAGCAGCCUGCCACACAUCUUGCCUGAAGUUAUUCUGCCUGUGAAAGGAAUGAUUUGUGGUAUCCUCUGACUCUCUACAGGUGAACCGAUGUAGCUCCAUCUGUCAAUUCCUGUAAAGCUGCAGAGGCAGAGUUAUAGAGAGAGAACGGUCUUCCUUUUCCAUUGGUUCACCCCCAAAAUGGCCACUGCGUCUGGCGCCCUGUGCCGAUCCAAAGCCAGGAGCCAGGUGCUUCCUCCUGGUCUCCCACGCAGGUGCAGGGCCCAAGGACCUGGGCCAUCCUCCACUGCACUCCCAGGCCAUAGCAGAGAGCUGGACUGGAAGAGGAGCAACUGGGACAGAAUCCGGCGCCCAACCAGGACUAGAACCCGGGGUGCCAGUGCUGCAGGCAGAGGAUUAGCCAAGUGAGCCGUGGCGCCGGCCUACUUCCCAUUUAUUAUCUAUGUAUUCUUUCUCUGCCUGUUGUCUGUGUUUUUAUUUUUUUUAAGUCAAAGCAACAUCUGUGUCCUACUCGGUGUGAUUUGUAUUGUAGAGAUUUAAUAAAUAGCUUAUGAUCAAUUUUA